GCGCGAGCGCGCACGGCGGGAGGGGUUGAGUGGGGGUGAACACGCACGCACACGCACACACCCCCCCCCCCCGGUGCGGGAGGGCUGGCAGAGCGGGUGCGGUUUGACAUUGCCGCCCUCCCGCGCGGGAGGAGCCACGGGGGGAGGGGCUCCGGCGGGGAGGGACCGGCCCUCGCGGUAACCCGCCGAGCAGGAAACUCCGUGACGGCCUGUCACAGAGCGACAGUCCUUGCACCAGUGAACAGCUGUGACUUGGUCAGUGGGUUUGAAAGCAGUUACUGCAUUGUAAAGUGUGUGUAUGUUUUAAGAUGAGCACUUUGAUAUACCGUUUCUCCUAAAGGACUCCAUUUCACCGGAUAAUGCCAAGUGAAAAUUCAUGUUAUGGUUGUACAAACAAGAGCAUCUUGAAAAUUGUGGAGCUGCAUACAAGCAAAUGUCAGAUGACAGCUUCUCAUUCCUCAACACAGCUACCACGUGUCAUUGAUGUUGUCUGCUAUUGAAAGAAUGCAAACAAAAUGUGUGCAGAAAAAAAACUGCACAUGGACACAUCCAGGUAGUUCCUGGCACACCUGCCUCUUCUGUUGCCUUCAGUGGAGGAAUCAGUUAUUACUCUGAAAAGAGGAACUGAGGAGGAUGUCUGCAUUUGAGUGUCUGCAGGGUGUCUACAUUUGAGAAAAGAGCAGAAGGCGUCAUGAAAGACUGUCAUGUGGGACCUUGUGGUACUUGUAUUAUUUAACAGUGGAAGGCUGAAGAGUUUGGUGUGUGAUAUUUAAUAUGCAUUGAAAGAGUCAGCCUGCUUACCUUCACCCUUCCCUCUGUAACUCUGUGAAGCCUCCUCUAGAUGUGAACUUGCAAGGAUGAGGACACAGGAGAUGAAUGUUCUUGGCAGCAACAGAAAUGGUUUGGCCAUGUUUUUUCUUCCUUUGGUGUUUCCUCAGAGGCCUCCCCAGUUUGAUGGUGCUUUGCUUUUGAAUUCCCUGGUUGAAAGUGACUAUAAAACACAACUUUCACAAAGUGCUGUGAGAUGGAAAACUUUAUAUGAUGAGCCAAGAGUUAUUAGCAUUAGUAGAAAUAGUUAACCACCCUUUCACAAAAAUAGCACUUGUCAUUCUUCUGUAAUGCACUUGGUUGCGUCUCUCGGGAAAGAGACUCAGUAAGCUAAUAUCAUACUAUCUUCAGUAUGUCUCUGCUGUGUGGACUUGACUACAAAUUAGUACAUUUUCUAUGUAUUUUCUAUUAUUAUUCUGUCACAUCAGAGCCUGUCUGUAACUUGCUAUGAUACUGCUAAUAUUGUGGCACCUUAAUUCCACUGUUCUCUGGAAGCAGUUUUACCUCUUGUUUAUAGUGUUAAGAUGAAUAUAGGAGAAAGCCUUUCAUAUGGUGUCUUAGGAUAACGAAUACUUUUGCUUCAAAGACUUUCUUUUGCUAGCUUUGCCAGCAUUCUUUAUUCAAUCCCACUUUUAUUUAUAAAUAAAAAACGUUAGUUUACAUAAAUAAAGACACCUGAAGAUUAUAAUUGUUGCAAGGAUAUAGUGCCAACAUAAAAUUAUUGUUUCCAGAAUGCAAACAAGAAAUGGAAA
ensembl:lncRNA